UACGUAGGGUGCAAGCGUUAAUCGGAAUUACUGGGCGUAAAGCGUGCGCAGGCGGCUUUGCAAGACAGAUGUGAAAUCCCCGGGCUUAACCUGGGAACUGCAUUUGUGACUGCAUGGCUGGAGUGCGGCAGAGGGGGAUGGAAUUCCGCGUGUAGCAGUGAAAUGCGUAGAUAUCGAGAGGAACACCUGCGGCGAAGGCGGGUUGCUGGGCUGAUACUGACGCUGAUGCGCGAAAGCCAGGGGAGCGAACGGG
rnacentral:rRNA from 1 species